rnacentral:rRNA from 1 species
UGGGGAAUAUUGGACAAUGGGGGCAACCCUGAUCCAGCAAUGCCGCGUGUGUGAAGAAGGUCUUCGGAUUGUAAAGCACUUUCGACGGGGACGAUGAUGACGGUACCCGUAGAAGAAGCCCCGGCUAACUUCGUGCCAGCAGCCGCGGUAAUACGAAGGGGGCUAGCGUUGCUCGGAAUGACUGGGCGUAAAGGGCGUGUAGGCGGUUUACACAGUCAGAUGUGAAAUCCCCGGGCUUAACCUGGGAGCUGCAUUUGAUACGUGUAGACUAGAGUGUGAGAGAGGGUUGUGGAAUUCCCAGUGUAGAGGUGAAAUUCGUAGAUAUUGGGAAGAACACCGGUGGCGAAGGCGGCAACCUGGCUCAUGACUGACGCUGAGGCGCGAAAGCGUGGGGAGCAAACAGGAUUAGAUACCCUGGUAGUCCACGCUGUAAACGAUGUGUGCUAGAUGUUGGGUAACUUUGUUAUUCAGUGUCGCAGUUAACGCGUUAAGCACACCGCCUGGGGAGUACGGCCGCA